ensembl:lncRNA LINC01646 long intergenic non-protein coding RNA 1646
CCCAACAGCGAUGGCUGCAAACCCUUGGAGGUGGCAUUGCCAAAAGCGGACGUCAAUAGAUGUAAUGCAAAAAUAGUGUCUUGUGUUCAAAAAAGGUUGGGAAAUACUGAGUGAAAGAAUAGUGCACAAACCAUAGGCACACAGCUCAAGGAAUUAUCAGGAAUUGAACAUGUCCACGUGUGCCCAACCCAGCUCUCCAGCACACCUUCCCAGCCUCAACCCAUCAUCUGGAUUCUGAGGAACAGUGCCUGCUGCUCAGUCAAUGCCUGAUGAUGGAGUGAACAGAUUUCUGCUUUCUGUGGCCACCUCUGGGCCACAGAAAGGCCCAGAGGUUACAAGCAACCUCUGGUCUUUGAAGAAGGAGCAAAAGGACAGAGAAGUAUGAAAAGGAGCCCCGUUUGGAUGCACCCACUGAGCACUGAAGGGGAGGACUCUUAGGUGGCCCCAUCCUUUGCAAACAGGCUCAGUGGUUCUCCCGCGCUCACCCCAAGGCCCAGAAUCCAUGCAUACAUGUAGGGUGGGGCAGGCCGGCUCACGCUGACACGUCCAGCCUCUGCCCAGCUCCUCUGCUGGAGUCUCUGCAGGGAAUUUGGCAGAGCUUGGUCAUUCCUUCACUAAUUCAGCCGUUGUAGAAAAGCCACCCAGUUAACAGGUCUGAGCCAUUUCCUCUCAUCCUGGGGACUAGAGGUGACUGCCACUUUGAGGCCAGUUAAGAGUUCUUGGCCCUUCCUGGAAACCCUGCACUGCUGGGAAGUGGGUGGACACACACUUCUGAGAAUGAAUUCCAAGCGAAUUUUCCCAUCAUUUCUUUCCCCCUAGCAGUGCAAGGCUGGGGCACACAGGGAGAGAAUGUCUCUCUCACAUGUCAACUCCCAUGGUCUCAACUAGGCCUCGGGGGAAAGAGAAUGGGGCAUUCCAGGAUGGGAAUUCCAGGGUGGGCAUUCCAAGGAGUAAGAGGAAUUCUGGGAAGGAGGACACUCGUGAUGCAUGCAUGGCCCAUCCAGAAGGUCCAGGAUCAUCUCCCCAGCCCAAGCCUUUAAUCACAUCUGCGAAGACCCCCCUCUUCCUAUAGAAGGUGACACGGUCCCAGGUUCUGGGAAUUAGGACACAGACACCUCUGUUCAGCUGACCACAGCCACUGGGGGACCCACUGUUGAUCCCCCAUCCAUUCUGAUAAAGGCUUUCAUGAUGUCAGAAACCAUGAA